UUAGUGCUCUUAAAUAAGACAAAAUAAUUUACAAGAAACUUUUCAGCAAAUUAUAGGAGCUUCUUUAAAGUCACUGCCUUCCUGCUGAAUGUCUCCAUCUAGUGGUCAGCAGCUGCAACGUCUUAAAAUAAGAGUAAAAACAUCAAAAUGUUUUCUAAAACGGGCACAUUCAGGCAGUUCUCUUGCCUCAUGACAGGGGGCGCUUGCGAUCCCAGACAUUAGUGUAGUGACUCCUUCACUGCAGAGUAAGAUACUGUAAAUAAGUCAAAUGCAGAGACAUAGUUUCCUCCUCUCUUCCGAAGUCAACAUGAAUGACUACACUUAAAUAUUUAUCUAACGCGUAUUUUCAGUCGAACCAGGAAAUAAUAAGUAAAGGAGCUGAAAGGUCCAAACGGAAAGAAAACACAGGCUUUGUGAACGUCCUGCUAGAAACGGCCUUUUCCUGCCUCCUUUUCUCAACUCGUGUCCAGGACAGACUUGGUUUAGGAUGAAGGGAUAUAUUUGUUCAGAAUGAGCGGAUUUAUUUAUAAGCUCUCCACACUUUAAAUCAAAGUUGUUCAUGUCUGGAAACCAGCUGGUGAUUCAAACCGUCUCUGCAGAGGACAGCAGGCUGUACUACUGUGGGAUGAAGCAGAACGAUCAGAUGGUUUACAAAGAAAAAAAACCUUCAGUCUAUCAGCUCAGUGCUGCUUUACUGGGCGAGGAAGAGGAAGGUCCAGGAGGAAGAAGCUCCUCCAGUCUGCCCAGCAAGGAUCUGAACCGGUCCCAUCAACGUCGUUUUCUUCCGUUUGAAACAAAGCCUCUCUGAAGAAAAACAGCGACGACCAGGUCCAACAGGGUUUAUCGGUCAGCAGAAACCUCGUCCUUCCUGACCCGUUAGAUCGCUGUAAAACCGUCGCAGUGAAGACGUACAACUUGCUCUGUUUUACCGUAUCUGGAACAGAAUAAUCUAGCGUGUAGAUAACAUGUGUCUAGAUAGUGACUGACAUUUGCGUAGCAAUUAUGCGAUUGAAGUGUUUUUCCCCACCCUUUGAGAAAUUGCAACGCUCUCUGUGACAGGGAUCCUAACGGCAAUAAAAAGGGAGAACGGACACACGUUUUCAGAACGGAAGAGAUUUGUGAACUGAAAACAUUUCUCUGGCUGUUUCUCCUCGCGAGUACAAAAGAAUGUAACUCUUUUGUCUUUCUUUGUUUGUUUAAGUAGUCUUUAAUAGGUGUUAAACCUGACAAGAAAGGCAUUUUGUCUUAUUUUAAAAAAGUAAUAAAAUGAUGUUUAUAGUGAUGUAUAUGUGAUAAUGUAUGAAAUCAGCUCCAGUAGCUCAUGAACUGCAGAAAGUUCCAGUUGUAGAAGAUUAGGUUGUUUUGAAAUGUUAUUUGAAGACGCUGUGCAGUUUCUAUCCACUAGACGGCGACAUUCCGCAGCCUGCUGGGGACAAUUGAUGAUUUGAUUGUCUAAAUUUAGUUUUAUUGAUAUAAUUUAAGGUCAAUUAUUAUGUUUGUGAGAAGGGCUUUAUGAAUAAGCUGUAUGUAUUUAUAUUUAUGUAAAAGUGACACAUUUAGGCAAAAGGUUUUAUAUAUUUCUGUUGUCUUUGGACCAAAAAAGGUUCAUAUGACCAAAGUCCCCAGAAAAUGAUGCGAAUGGACCCAAAAGCAGAAAAGUGCAGCACAAUCAUCAUACUAAAAAUGACAAGAAGAGACUGAAAGUGAACGAAUCAUCCGGUGGAGCUCCGGAGGACGUGAUUAGCGCUGAUUGGAGUCAGCUGUGGGGAACCGGAUAAAAAGGAAGGGGAUGAACCAGAGGCGUUUAGUUGAGCUCUGGAUCAGGUUCGGUUCAGUGGGUCUCCAGGUUGUGCUCCAGAGUUUUUCAGCGUCGUGUCCAUCUGUGAGUCCACGGGUGGUUUUCAUCUGCAGCCGAGCGGCUCUUUAAAACUCCAUGAAGCGUUUGGAGCGGCGAUAGUAAAACCUGUUUUCAGAGCAGCUUCCUUGUUGGCUUCCAGUCCGCCGCAGACAGCAGGUGAAACGGAUUGUGACUGAUUUCUGGUUCAUGGUCAAACACAGAUCUCCGUGGAGCCACAGCUUCCUGGUUCGGUUCACCAUGUUGGACGAGCUGACAGCAGCUGAUUUAGAUUGUAGUGUUUGUGGAGGAAUGAUCGGCUGCUGCCUAUGUAGCUCCUGACAGAGCCUGGAGGUGAACUUUGACCUGAAGUUGCCCUGGUUCAUUGUCCUCCUCCAUACAAGUAAAAUGUUUAAUCAUAAAGUUGUUUGUGUCCUCCAGUUUUUUUUUUUCCCCCCCAGAUCGUCUUUGCUGAAUACCAAGUGAGCCAGAUGUGCAACAGGUGUGGAGCCUUGUUUCCAUGGUUACAGGCAUGGCCUGCUUAUUGAUUGAGUCAAGCAGAAUCUUGAAGAGGUUCCUCUGCCUGUGGCCUCUUCUGGAGAGCAGCAACCGCAGAGAAGAAACUUUCAGUCACCUCAACAUUGAUGCAGACGGCUCUUCUGAUGGAGUGAUGACAUCCACAAAGCCUGGAAAACAAAAACUUCUUUUAAUAAAACAUUAUCUCAAAGUUG